GACCAGCUCUCGGUGAUGGCCAUCUCUCCUCCUCUCUUCUUGCAGCCGUGGGGCACAACCUGAAGACCUUCACACUCAACUUCACCAUUUCCACUCUCCAGUAUUCAACAGACAUGAGCAAGGUCUCAGUCACAUUCAACUCCAACGAGAAAGUCCAGUAGCACCUGAAGAGACCGGUCCCAACAGCUCCUGGUGGAAUGAGUCCCAGCCAGCUGCUCCCCACACUCUGUUCCUCCUGCUUGUCCUCCUCCUCCUUCCUCCCCAGCUUGGAUCCUUGUUCAAGAAGAGCAGCCUGGGCCACUUGGGUUGCAGACUCAUCUCUCUCAGAGGAUUCAGGACGUCUCUCUAGAGUUACCACAUCCAUCUCUCCCUGGGCCUGAGAAAGAUGGGGCAGCCACCAGUGUGGAUGCUGUCUGUACCUACCACCCUGACCCUGUGGCUCAUGGCAGAGAGUGUGACAGAGAUCCCAUGUGACAGAGAGCAGCAAUACUGGGACCUGAACCAGCUGAUGCACCGUGUCACCCAGAGGGGCCUCUACUCCCUGGUCAGGGACAGCCUCUUUGUCAGUGGGUACUCCCCCAACAGAAAUGGUGCCCUGACUGAGAAUUCUGGUAAGCCUCAAGGAAGCCCCAGCCUGCGCUUGGGAGGGAAUAUCUCGAUGCUCUGCCCCAUCAAAGAUAACCACGCACACAGGGUCUUAGGUGAUGAUGAAAACUGGCCAACCCAUGUCAAGACCUCCCCUUCUGGGCGAUCAUCCUCAUCUGCUUGGUGGGGCUCAUGGUGCUCAUCACAUGCCUGAUCUGCUGUCUCCUGGUACAUUUGUCAUUCUUGCCAACAACAGAUGAAGAAACUGAGGCACCGAUGAGGUGUGAGAUCCAUGACAGUGGAGACUGUGCCUGGGAGUUUCUGAAAGGCCUCACAGAGAUGCCAUUUGCUGCGAGCAGAAUGAUAAGUGUAAGCCAUGCCUGCCGAUGUCUGGGAAGAGUUAGUGUGCCAGGGAGAAGGCACCACUGGUGCGGACUCAGGAAGAAGUGCAGACCUAAAAACAAGGCCAAGAGGGGCAGUGACUUUCCCAAGAUCACAGAGCUGGAACCCAGGUCUGCUUUGAGAGGUUGAGAGAUUGAGGAGGCCCUGAGAGGCACAAUGAUGUUUUCAGGACACAGACCUGGUUGGAAAAAAGAGAUCUGGACUCAGCUGUGUGUCCUCCAGCUGGAAUCCUGGUUCCAUUCUCAAGGUCCUGUGUGGGGCGCUGCGCUGGAUAUUUGCCUACUGCUAUGGAGAUGACAUGGGCAAGGAGGGUGAGAGUCAAGAGCCGAGAGGGGGUUUUGGGUGGGUGUGAUUGAUGAAAGGGGACCAGGUAAUGGAGCCUUGGAGAAGUGUUCACCUCCUUGGUGACAGGCCCCAACAGAACUUAGCACUCUGGUCUCCAGGCACCCACAUUAGGCAUAGCUUCCUAUUGAGCUCACUUGAGUGGAGACACGCAACACAACAGGAUGUUCUUGUCUUGUAUCCCAACUUGUGGAGGCUCUGGCUUCUGGAAAGCUGAGAAUUAAUGAGAGUCUUUUCAGUCACUGUAGACAUUGGCUCAGCCCUCACCUGCAACACCUCUGGUUGUUUGGCAGGAGGAGCCCUCAGGUAACACAGGACAGGCCACUCCAGGUCAGGCCACAGCUGGAUCCCACCUGGAGACCCCCACAAACCUUGACCCUCAUUUUGUGUCAGGGGAGUAGAGUGAGGGACGGUGGGGCUGAGCAGGGACCCACCCUGGGCAGGAGCAGGUUGCUCGGCGUUGGAAGCCUGGCAGUGUCAUGUUCCUAGCCCAGGUUGUGGCUGGCAGGAUGGGAAGGUGAGUGCUGGGGACCAAGCUCCUCUACCCGUAUGUUAAUCCUGAGCUCUCCGGGUGUCAUCUCAUUCCCUCUCUGGCUGGAGGUCUACGCAGAUGCCCCUCUGUACCUGAUCUGUUGUGGGAGUUUCCCCCCGUGGCCAAGUCAAGGCAGGCCCCUGAGACCUCCUGGCCCGGCUCUCGGGCACUGUCUUUGCAGAGCUGCACAUGGGAGAUGGUCGAGGAGCUGGUGGAUGACUUUGGCUACUCCCUCUCCCCGGAGAGGGGGCAGGUGCACCAUGCCACCAAGAAUGACCAGGGCUGGUCUGAGGUGAGAGUAGGCACAGAUGGGUUUCCCUAUCCAGGACCCUGAGAUGACCAGGGCUGGCUCAGAAUCCAGAGUCAAACUGAGAUUUCCCCUGGUACCUAACAGGGCUGUCCCACCUGAGUGUCCCAUGUUCCCAUUCCCAAAGGAAUCUGGAUUUCCCCUCCUCCCCACCAGCUGCUUAGGAGGGUGGGAAGUCCCUCUUUGCACAUUCCUAGGAAGAUUAGCAGAAACAUUGGCCUUGUUUUCACUUCCCACUAGGAUGUGAGUAUCUUUGAAUUUUGCCUUUUUCUGAACCUGGGACCCCCAUAAUGAGGGUCUCAAAACUCCCUUUAAUGUAAGAGAAAGAACCAUCAGUGUCUUUUUGAAGUCAACAGGAUUCUCACAGGGUAUGUCUGCCCUCUACAUUGUCUCCAAACUAGGGAGGGGUGGGCCUCCCACAGAACUUUUCCCUCCAGGUCAAGGGCAAAUGAAGCCUCAGGCAGUUUAGAGGGAAGUUCUGUCAGCCUUCAUUUGGGGCGGUUCUCAGUUCUGACCCACAGGACCUUGAGAAGCCCCUUGGCAUGCCUAAGCCUCUGUUCUCAUCUCUAUAGAGGAGGUAUCUGUUGAGGAUUCACUGGGCUGGUGAUCAUCAUACAGGGAGGUCUGUUGUUCCUCAGUGAACAAAUGGCCUUGAGGGAGCUCACUGGAGAAUCCUUCCCCCCCAAACUCAGAUUGUACUUUGAAAGCCCACAACCUUGUUCAGUGUGGGAGCUCCUGUCCCUCCUGUAGCACACGUCCCUGAGGGGCUGGGUGUUCCUGGGUGAGAUGCAGACCUCCAUCCUCCCGGUGGUUCACGGUGGUGCCACUGACUCUAUGUCCCUCCUCGUCCCACACAAUGUGAAGAUGAGACCACUGUGUGUCUAAAUGAGGUCUGCAGGAUGGGCACCCUCCAGGCAGGUGUGAUGGAGAAGCUGACAGAGUCCAUGGUCCCAGCCUUCCCGGGUAGAGUCAUCUGCAAUGUCACCACAUUUGUGUGCAACUACUCAGCCUUCAACACUUCCCACCAGGUCCUGGACCAACUGUUUACCAGGUGACUGCCCGCCUCCUCCUCAGCACAGUGGUGACUCUGCCCAUUGCCAGCUGUGUGUCUCGGGAACGUCACCACAUCUCUCUGAGCCUCAGUUUGCUCCUCUGAAAAGUGGAGUUGGGGAGGAUGAACUUCCUAGGGUUCUCCCAGGGAUGAAUGGGCUCAGCCAUCCAGGUGCUUCCCUGGUGGCUGGCUCUGCAGAGAGGGCCAUGGGCCAUGCUGUGGCUGUUCUUGGUGAGCAUUUCUCUGUCCUCCAUGAAAAGUAGUCUUCCUCUCCCUUCACUGGCUUGUGGCUUUUUGAGUUUGGAAAACUACCUGUAGAGCACCCUGUCAAGGAGUUUGAGAUUCCAUCCAGCUGGUCUUAGUGCUUGUCCUUGGUAUAGCCAAUUAGGGAUCUCUGGGGCCACAGAGGGGCCCCAGACCCACUCAGAUACCUGGGGUGGUUCUGGUUGGAGUUCAUUCAGCAAUUAAGUGCCUACUCCACUCAGGACUUUUGAAGACACUUAGCAUAACUCAAUGAAUGAAGCAGACACCAUCCCUGGUCCUCAAUUCUACUCUGAGAGUCAGGCAGUCACACUCGAAAUCAUUCACAGGUACUGUCCAUUAUACAAACCGUGUGAUGCCCUUGUAUCUUCUUAGACAUAUGGAGGCAUCUUCCCACAUUGUGAGUGGGAUGAUGGACCACAAGACCACCUGAAAAAGUGAGUGGUCUUUGGGUCCAGAAGGAGGGCCUCCUGUCUCUAGAGAACAUGUUUGAGGGAGAGUAUGGGGCUGUGGCUUUGGCAGGCCUAGCAGAACCCUGCAUCUCACUCAUCUUUUGAUUCUUAUGGGAGGGCUGAGUUCUGGUGGCUUCCACUCCAGGAGGAUAGGAGUCAAAGAGAGCUGUGGAUGGGUCUCAGGCCCCCUGGGAACCAGAAGGGAAGCUGGGCUUAGUUGUUCCCUAGAGACCCAUCCCACCAGAGUCUCAUCUCACUCUGCCUCCCUUUCUCCACAUCCACCCCUUUUGGCCACCACCACCAGGUCCAGAGCAGAAGGUGCAUGAUAAAGUUGCUCACAAAUCUGCCUGAGUCUUCAGUCCAGUGGCCCUCGUGCAUGGAGGGCUGGGGUGGGCUGUAUCCAGGCCCUUUGGGAGAAGAGUGUCAGUGGGAACAAGAGACUCCCACAGACUCUGUGUUCAACCUGGUGGAUGAGCAGGCCUGCCACUGCCAGGACAGCCACACAGGGUUCAGGGCUGGGAUGGGGCCCUCCUCUGGAGGAGAAGGGGCAGGCACAGGGGUCCAGAUCCAAACAAGGGUGCUUCAGGAGGGCAGUGUGGAAAGAAAGGCCAGGUCUCUGACUCUGCGGCCCAUCUGCUGCCCCUCAGUGCUAUCUCUUUUAUGGUGGGAAGCUGGCUGGACCAAGGGCAGGAUUUCUGGGAGUGCCUGCACUUUCCCUGUUUGACAGUGAAGCUGGCCAUUGUUCAUGUCAGCUUUGGUGGCUGAAGGGAAAUGGAGGUACCGUAGACAAUCAGACUGGAGCAGCUUCGGUGCAGAUGUGACUCAGCAUGUCCCCUGCAGGCAGUGCACGCGCCAACCAUGUAUGUAAACACCUUACGUAACCUGCAUAAUGUAAACAUUGUAUGUCAUCUGCUGGCUGUAUGCCGCUUUUGUCUAGUAGUCAUUUAAAAGUGGCCACAAGGGGAGCUGCUGUGCUCCCACCGUCUGUGGGCCAGAGUAAAUAAAGAGUAUGUCUCCCUUGCCGUUGGCUGCUCGCAGCUUUUUUCUUUUCUGUUUUUUUUUUUUUUUUGAGGAAGAUUAACCCUGAGCUAACAUCUGCUGCCAAUCCUCCUCUUUUUGCUGAGGAAGACUGGCCCUGAGCUAACUUCUGUGCCCGUCUUCCUCUACUUUAUAUGUGGGACACCUACCACAGCAUGGCUUGCCAAGAGGUACCAUGGCUGCACCCAGGAUCUGAACUGGUGAACCCUGGGCCGUGGAAGCGGAACGUGCACACUUAACCACUGUGCCACUGUGCCAGCACCUUGCACCUUUUUCAAUUCCCCAAGCCCCAUAGUCCAGACCUUGGCUGUUUUUCUCCUGCUUACAAUUGACCUAGUCAGACAGAUUCUGGGGUGAGUGGACCUAUGGCUCCUAAGGCUGACGGGACGGACAUGUGGCCACCCACUAGUAUGUGGUUCCUGGUGGUGGAGGUCCUGUUGAAUUGGGCUCCUGCAGAAGGAUGGGAGUCUGUGGAUGGUACCCUAGUCAGCACUGAGACGGCUCUGCAUAGCCUAGGGGAGCAGGUCCCAGAGAAGGCCCAGCCUGCCAUGGGGCCGGCUGGCUGUUUUUGACAGCGUUAUGCCGCAACAUGGAUUCUGCCCUGCAGUAUGCAACCUGCAUACAGGAACUCCAAGCCAAGGAGCAUGCCUUGGAGGUGCGGGUGUGGCAGUUGGAACUGGAGCUGGAAAUGGUGCCUCGCAGUGAGACAGCGGAGGACACUGAGGUUGGGGACUGCCGAGGAUGGGGACGUGGAGGAAACGUGCCCUCUCCAUGCUUGGCCAGUAAUCCAGCAAAAGGUAAAGCAUGAGCAGCCCUUGGGUCUAGGAGGUGUCACCCAAGGAGCCUCGAUCGUGACAGAGUUCAUGGCAUAGUCCCCUUAUACGCCAAUGGAACUGUGGGACCUGUGUAAGCAGUGCAGGCAACAGCCGGGUGAGCCCAUACUGGCCUGGCUCCUGUGGCUAUGGGAUGAGGGGGCGGAUAGUAUAAUCUGUACUUCUGAUGAGAUGGAGAAGCUGGCCUCCAUCAUGUUGCCCCCCUCCCUUUGGCAGUGGUUCCAGAAUAGCUGCCAGCUAGGCCAAGGGCAGGGAAAUCACUCCAUGAUGGAGUGGGUGACAGCUGCCGCCCGGACUGUGUGGGAUAACGCCGGGGAGCUCCUGGAGACUGUGAGCCAAUGGCAGACCUAUGCGGAACUGGUGCAAGUCAUCCGUGAGUUGGAAAUGUGGCAAGCCACUUUUAGCCUUCAUACCCGGGGGCCCAAUGAUGAGUGCUUUACGUCCAGGAUGAAGGACUUGGUCCUUAACUCAGCCCCGUCUAAUGCUUUUGGGUCCUUGGUGGCCAUGAGGUAACCACUGCAAUGGCCACUUUGGGGGAUGUAGCAGGCUGACAGAAGGAGAAAACCAAGCGUGUCGCACGGUGAGUGGUGCCAAAGCUGAGAGCAGGCUUGGCAGAGAAAGGGCCUAAACAAGUUACCUGCAUGUAAAAGUGGGUAGACCUGCUAGCCUCAGGCAUUGAUCAGAUGAAAAUAACUGGCAGCCGAAUGCUGUCUUGGUGGUGCUGUGGCACCAGUUGAAGCCUGAGCAACAGUUCUAAAAGACUGUGGAAAGGCGAAAGAAUCCCAGCAAGAACAGGCAAGUAAGCCUCCAGGACUUUACGCAGCCCUGAGGUGAGGAGCCCAUGUACCUCUUUGACUAGGGGAAAGGCCGGAGUGCCUGGAUUGGGGGAUCCCCGGAGGACUGGAGGCCACGUGUGGAACUUGCGAUUUACCGGUCCCCCACCAAUGUGCAGCGUGCACUGGUAUUGGUAGAUACUGGAGCCGAGUGUAGUCUGAUUUAUGGCAACCCGGAUAAAUUUCCAGGGAAGCCGGCAUAUGUUGAUGGCUUGGAGGCCAUACUGUGAAAUUGAAGCCAGUGUCUCUGUCCCUUGGCAUUGGCUGUUUGCUGCCCCGAGUGUACACAGUGUAUGUGUCUCCUAUCCCCGAGUAUGUUCUGGGGGUAGACGUCUUGCCAGGACUGCGCCUGCAGAUGACCAUGGGCGAGUUCUGCCUACGGGUGCAUGUGGUUAAGUCCGUCAUCCAGGGGCAUACACACCACCCGCUGCAAGUGUUGCUGGUGCCACGACAUGUAGUGACCACCCGACAGUAUUGCCUCACAGGUGGACAUGAGGAGAUCACACAGACCAUUGUAAAAGUAGAAGAGGCUAACAUCGUGCAAUCCACCCAAAGCCCUUAUAAUUCCCUAGUUUGGCAAGUGAGGAAGGCUGACAGCACAUGGCGUAUGACUGUGGAUUACUGGGAAUUAAAUACAGCGACUCCUCCAUUGCAUGCUGCUGAGCCCUCAGUGCAUGACAUAAUGGAUCGACUGACAGUCCAUUUGGGACAGUACCACUAUGCUGUGGACCCUGCUUUUCCAACGAUAUUCCCGCUGAGAGUCAAGAUGAGCUUGCCUUCACCUGGGACGGCAGACAGUGGACAUUUUGUGCGUGGCCACAAGGGUACCUGCCUAGCCGCACUAUUUGUCAUGGCUCAUGGCUCAGGAUUUAGCUGCUUGGACUCACAGUGAUACAGUGCUUGUAUUUCACUAUAUUGAUGAUAUGUUAACCUCCGACUCUUGCAGAUCUACAGCAGGCUCCUGAUUCCCUGUGGAAGCAUCUGGCAACGUGGCUGGGCAGCCAAUGAUGCCAAAGUCCGGGGACCUGGCUUAUCUGUCAAAUUCUUGGGGGCUGUCUGGUCAGACGGAGAGUGGUGAACAGUGUUGUGGAAUGGGCACACACCUAGCUGAGGUGACCAACAUAUCUAUCUGCUGGGUGUGCACAGAACUGCCCACCAGCACUGCAGAAGGCUCCCUGUGACACAUCCACCCUGCUUCAGAAGGGAACCGGACCUGGCUGUGUUCCUGAGGACUUGCUGAUGCUCAGUGGGACCAAAGAAGGCACCAGGUGGACCAGUAGCUGUGCUGACAACAUGGAGGAAAAUGGCCCUGGGUGACCCCGAGCCUCUGGGAUGACUAUGGGUGGUUAUGCGGGGAGGCUGUUGUGCUCUGCGUGUCUGUGCCCCCGUGCAUAGAGCAACAGAAGGGGGAUGUGAUAGCGGGAUAGGUACCCAAGGAGCUGUGUCAGAAGAUCCAGGGAGUGACCCAGCCCAAGUAUUGGUGGAAUGCCCAUCCCUAUGUAGGGACAGUCCCCAUGGACAGAGUGCCCACGGGCAGUCUCUGGGUCUGUGGUAGUUAUGAAUGGCCUUAUCUCCUGGCCAACUGGACAGGGUGAUGCCCUUGGGGGUGGCCCUACCUUGCAGCUGCUGUUCGGAGAACUUUGGAUGUGCGACCCAGCAAUUGGAAGAGGGUAAAAGGGCGCUGUCACUGGGAGAAAUGAAUGCCCUGGUGGAUUUACCUCCUGGCUGUUCUUAGUCUGUCCGCGGGGGCUAUUGCUAUGGAGUGGCAGGUUACUGCCUUGACAGAGCAUAACGCCCGAGCCCUCAGUCAUACAGCCUGGGCCCUGUCUCUCUUAACUGAUGGAGUAGACCAGACCCGGAAGGUCGUGCUGCAGAACCGCAUGGCUCUAGACAUCCUUACUGCAGCACAAAGGGGGACCUGUGCAGUUACUGAGGUGCAAUGUUGCACGUUUAUACAAGAUAGUGCAAGGAACAUAUCGCAAGCCUUGCGACAGGCUAGGCACAAGAUCUCGUGGAUCCAGACGUUGACAGGAGACCCCCUGCAGGAACAGUGAUCUAAGUUGUCCUCCUCGUGGCGGUGGGCUCUGACCACAGUAGGAGGUAUAUCCUGUCUCCUGAUGGUCAUUUGCUGUUCUCUGUAUUGCUGUUGUGGAAUGUAGGUCCAAGGCAUUGGGCUGUGUGCCCCUGCCUCCUGCAAACUCCCCCCACUGCUGAGGUCUGAUGGGGGUGGAGGGAAGGGAAAUGGAGAUAGUGUGGACAAUCAGACCGGAGCAGCUUCCGGGCAUCUGUGACUCAGCAUGUCCCCUGCAGGCAGUGCAUGUGCCAACCAUGUAUGCAGACACCUUAUGUAACCUGCAUAAUGUAAACAUUGUCUGCUGGCUGUAUGCCACUUUUGUCUAGUAGUCAUUUAAAAGUGGCCACAAGGGGAGCUGCUGCGCUCUCACCAUCUGUCUGCCAGAGCGCAUAAAGAUUGUGUUUGCCUUGCCACAGACAGCUUGCACUUUUUUUCAAUUCCCCAAGCCCCGUGGUCCAGUCCUCAGCUGUUUCUCUUCUGCAUACAGUGGCUCAGACCUGGAGGGCCAUGCCUAUCUUUUCCCAGUUGAGCUGGAGCAUCUCGAGUCCAUUGAGGCAGAGUGGAGCCAGAUCCAGAGCUCCUGCCACUUCCAGAGCCAGAGCAAGGGCCAGCUCCUGGGCUAGAGACAGGUCCAGCUCAAGUCCCACCACCUGUGGGAGAGCUGGAGCCAGCAUCACCUGCGUCGGCCCUUCCAGGACUGGAGUUAGGUCCACCAUUAACUUCAGCCCCAGAGCCAGCUCCUUUGCUGGAGCCAACUGGACUCUGGGCUCUAGUGACAUUUCCAGUUCCAUCUGCACAAAUAACGAUCAUGCUGGAUCCAGCCCCAGAACCCGCCUGGCCCUGGGCUGUGACCACCAAGAACCAGCUGAGGAAGGAGAUGCCAAACCUCUUGGACUUCCCUCCCCAGCUGGUGGCAGAACAGCUGACGAGGAUGGCUGCGGUGAGCAGCGGGGCUGGCAGUGGGGGUGGGCCCUGCUGCCAUGUGCCUGAGCUGCCCCACACCUGCCAUUCCCUGAUCUGGAAUCCGAUGAUCUGGGUUCAAAUACAUGCUCCCUCCCUCACCAACACUGUGACCUGGGCAGCUUUCUUUACCCCCAAGCACUCGCUGUCCCCACGGGGACAGUAGAGAUGGAAACUAAGAGCACCUGCUGCACAGGGUGGAGGCGGAACAGAAGAAGCUGGGCAGAGUCUGGCCCUUUGGUGGGGGAGGGGAGCUCACUGAAGUGCUGCCAGGUCCUUGGGUAGAUCCCCCAUCUGCCCAGGUGGCCUCAACAGUCUUAGCACUCAUUAGGCGUGUGAUGCGAAUUGACUCCAGGGGAGACAAAAAGCCAAAGCUGGUGGCUGUCCCUGCCUGACUGAACACUCAGCACAGGGCUGGAGCACAGAGUGCAGUGGGGGCGGGGAGGGGAGGGCGGGCUGUGAUUCUGGGGCAGGCCGCCAGGUAAUGCUGCUCUUUAUCCAGACAUCAGGCCCCCAACAAAGAGCCCAGUGGCAGUGGCAGAUGACCCUCCUGAGACCAGCUGAACUACAGCCUUUUCCUCAGCAGGGGACACAGCUGGGACACUCAGGGUGCACAGGGCCACCUCCUUCCAUUCUGAUGGGGAGAACUUUGUGAUCCUUUUCCCAGGGGUCCCCUGAAGGCGACAAGGGAGGCCAUGACCCCCCUAUCUCCCUCACACCUUUUCCCUAGUGCCUAUUUACCUCUUUGGAGGGGCCGUAUUUCUGUCGUCAGUGGUAAAUGCGUUUGAAUGUUAUAUUAAAUGCCUGUUUCCUUCUCAGCCUGGGAGUGCUGGUGUGGUUCUUUGACUCUCUGCGCUCCUGGAAACGAGAUCCAGAAUCUCAUAUUCCUCAUUGAUUUAGGAACCUCGCAGAGUCAUCAGCUCAGUGUAUGUGGAAAAGGGAGAAGGGCCAGUUUCCUCCCUGCCUACUGAAGGACACCCCCAGGCCCCCUUCCUCAGAGGACAGUUUCAUUGCAGUGAGGUGCCCCUGGUCCAGGAGCAGAGACGGCCCCGCAGAUCUCCGGGGACUGAAAGGUUGGAGGGACUUUCUCAGGCAAAGCAGCAACCACUGAGAUGGAGGCAUCUUCAAAACUAGCACCUGCCUGGCCCUGGCACAUGUCCUGCCCAGGACGGUGAUGGCCUUUCUGCACUUGGAGGAGGAGGGAACAUUGUCCCGGUUUCUCUUUUGCAAAGAUUAGGAACUUGCUGUUUUCUGAUUUGGUCUCUGAAUUUGCAUCAGCUCUAAAGGGGGAAAAUAAUGUAAAAAGCUCAAAAUGUGCACGUGGAGAGGACGAGGCCAGAGGAAGGUCCUGCGCAGAUGGACGAAGGGUGGGCGGGCCUCUGCCUCCUCCAGCCCCUCUAGGGGCUCCCUGUUCACCCUUGACCUCGAC
ensembl:lncRNA